UACGAGGGGGGCAAGCGUUGUUCGGAAUUAUUGGGCGUAAAGGGCGCGUAGGCGGUGCGGUAAGUCACCUGUGAAAACUCUGGGCUCAACUCAGAGCCUGCAGGCGAAACUGCCGUGCUUGAGUAUGGGAGAGGUGAGUGGAAUUCCUGGUGUAGCGGUGAAAUGCGUAGAUAUCAGGAGGAACACCUGUGGCGAAGGCGGCCUGCUGGGCAGUUACUGACACUGAGGCGCGACAGCGUGGGGAGCAAACAGG
rnacentral:rRNA from 1 species